GACGAACGCUGGCGGCGUGCCUAAUACAUGCAAGUUGAGCGCUGAAGGUUGGUACUUGUACCAACUGGAUGAGCAGCGAACGGGUGAGUAACGCGUGGGGAAUCUGCCUUUGAGCGGGGGACAACAUUUGGAAACGAAUGCUAAUACCGCAUAAAAACUUUAAACACAAGUUUUAAGUUUGAAAGAUGCAAUUGCAUCACUCAAAGAUGAUCCCGCGUUGUAUUAGCUAGUUGGUGAGGUAAAGGCCCACCAAGGCGAUGAUACAUAGCCGACCUGAGAGGGUGGUCGGCCCCCUUGGGACUGGGACACGGCCCAAACUCCUUCGGGAGGCAGCAGUAGGGAAUCUUCGGCAAUUGACGGAAGUCUGACAGGGCAACGCCGCGGGAGUGAAGAAGGUUUUCGGAUCGUAAAACUCUGUUGGUAGAGAAGAACGUUGGUGAGAGUGGAAAGCUCAUCAAGUGACGGUAACUACCCAGAAAGGGACGGCUAACUACGUG
rnacentral:rRNA from 1 species